AUACGGAGGGUGCAAGCGUUAAUCGGAAUUACUGGGCGUAAAGCGUACGUAGGCGGUCCGUUAAGUUAGAUGUGAAAGCCCCGGGCUUAACCUGGGAACUGCAUUUAAAACCGGCGGACUAGAGUUGAGUAGAGGGGAGUGGAAUUUCAGGUGUAGCGGUGAAAUGCGUAGAGAUCUGAAGGAACACCAGUGGCGAAGGCGACUCCCUGGACUCGAACUGACGCUGAGGUACGAAAGCGUGGGUAGCAAACGGGAGUAGAAACCCCGGUAGUCC
rnacentral:rRNA from 1 species